UACGGAGGAUCCAAGCGUUAUCCGGAAUCAUUGGGUUUAAAGGGUCCGUAGGCGGUUUUAUAAGUCAGUGGUGAAAUCCGGCAGCUCAACUGUCGAACUGCCAUUGAUACUGUAGGACUUGAAUUAUUGUGAAGUAACUAGAAUAUGUAGUGUAGCGGUGAAAUGCUUAGAUAUUACAUGGAAUACCCAUUGCGAAGGCAGGUUACUAACAAUUGAUUGACGCUGAUGGACGAAAGCGUGGGGAGCGAACAGG
rnacentral:rRNA from 1 species